AGAGUUUGAUCCUGGCUCAGAUUGAACGCUGGCGGCAGGCCUAACACAUGCAAGUCGAACGGUAGCACAGGAGAGCUUGCUCUCUGGGUGACGAGUGGCGGACGGGUGAGUAAUGCAUGGGGAGCUGCCCAAUCGAGGGGGAUACCAGCUGGAAACGGCUGCUAAUACCGCAUACGCCCUGAGGGGGAAAGGUGGGGACCUUCGGGCCUACCGCGAUUGGAUGCACCCAUGUGGGAUUAGCUAGUUGGUGAGGUAACGGCUCACCAAGGCGACGAUCUCUAGCUGGUCUGAGAGGAUGACCAGCCACACUGGAACUGAGACACGGUCCAGACUCCUACGGGAGGCAGCAGUGGGGAAUAUUGCACAAUGGGGGAAACCCUGAUGCAGCCAUGCCGCGUGCGUGAAGAAGGCCUUCGGGUUGUAAAGCACUUUCAGUAGGGAGGAAGGGUUGAUGUCUAAUACGCAUCAACAUUGACGUUACCUACAGAAGAAGCACCGGCUAACUCCGUGCCAGCAGCCGCGGUAAUACGGAGGGUGCAAGCGUUAAUCGGAAUAACUGGGCGUAAAGCGCACGCAGGCGGUUAGAUAAGUCAGAUGUGAAAUCCCCGGGCUCAACCUGGGAACUGCAUUUGAAACUGUCUGACUAG
rnacentral:rRNA from 1 species